GAUGAACGCUGGCGGCGUGCCUAAUAUAUGCAAGUCGAGCGAACGGACGAGAAGCUUGCUUCUCUGAUGUUAGCGGCGGACGGGUGAGUAACACGUGGAUAACCUACCUAUAAGACUGGGAUAACUUCGGGAAACCGUAGCUAAUACCGGAUAAUAUUUUGAACCGCAUGGUUCAAAAGUGAAAGACGGUCUUGCUGUCACUUAUAGAUGGAUCCGCGCUGCAUUAGCUAGUUGGUAAGGUAACGGCUUACCAAGGCAACGAUGCAUAGCCGACCUGAGAGGGUGAUCGGCCACACUGGAACUGAGACACGGUCCAGACUCCUACGGGAGGCAGCAGUAGGGAAUCUUCCGCUAUGGGCGAAAGCCUGACGGAGCAACGCCGCGUGAGUGAUGAAGGUCUUCGGAUCGUAAAACUCUGUUAUUAGGGAAGAACAUAUGUGUAAGUAACUGUGCACAUCUUGACGGUACCUAAUCAGAAAGCCACGGCUAACUACGUG
rnacentral:rRNA from 1 species